GACGAACGCUGGCGGCGUGCUUAACACAUGCAAGUCGAACGGAAAGGCGCUGCUUUUGUGGGGUUCUCGAGUGGCGAACGGGUGAGUAACACGUGAGUAACCUGCCCUUGACUUUGGGAUAUCUUCAGGAAACUGGGGCUCAUACCGGAUAGGAGCUCCUGCUGCAUGGUGGUGGUUGGAAAGUUUCGGCGGUUGGGGAUGGAAUCGCGGCUUAUCCGCUUGUUGGUGGAGUAGUUGCUUACCAAGGCUAUGACGGCUAGCCGGCCUGAGAGGGUGAACGGCCACAAGGGGACUGAGAGACGGCGCAGACUGCUACGGGAGGCAGCAGUGGGGAAUAUUGCACAAUGGGCGGAAGCCUGAUGCAGCAACGCCGCGUGCGGGAUGACGGCCUUCGGGUUGUAAACCGCUGUCGCCUGUGACGAAGCGUGAGUGACGGUAAUGGGUAAAAAAGCACCGGCUAACUACGUG
rnacentral:rRNA from 1 species